ensembl:misc_RNA Metazoa_SRP Metazoan signal recognition particle RNA
GCCAGGCGCGGUGGCUCGCGCCUGUAAUCCCAGCACUUUGGGAAGCUGAGGCGGGUGGAUCACCUGAGGUCAGGAGUUCGAGACUAGCCUGGCCAACAUGGUGAAACCCCGUCUCUA